GUCUGGGAGCGGCAGCCACUGGCCCAGUGUUUCCCCUUGCAGCAGCGAGGACAAAGACUUGGCUGCCGAACAGGGAGAC